UUUUGGACUGUUUGACUCUAGUCUAUAAAUCUCUAUAUAUAUUGUAAUGAGAUUGAUGGAAGCUUCAUAAAAAUGUAGGAGAGUUUUAUUGAAGUUUAAGGUUGGGCCAUCUUAGACACUAAAUUACUAUGAAGUUGGCAUUUGUGUGGGUUCACUGUGAUUGAGAGAGUAAAAUUUGAGUUAUUUAAGAUUUUAGCUUUAUGAUGUGCUCUGUAAUGAAGAAUUUUCUUGGAUCAUUUUAGAUUUUUGUUUUUCAAAUGUUUAGUUUGAUUCAGAUUCAGGUUGACUUCAAAACGAUAUGUUGAUGGGGUUUCUGGAUAGGGAAAACAUUUCUUUUCUAUUCUGGUUGCAUAUGAUUUGAGGAAGAUAAAUACUGGGGCCAUAUUGAGUUCCAAGUUCUUUGCACAGAAGCAUCUCUUCAUUUGCACUAGCUAUGUUAUUCUGCGUUCCAUUUCGAUACUCAUGCACAUAAGUCUGGGUUUUUCUUAGUCGAGAGGAUUAUUAUUAUUAUUUUUCUCUGAUUAUUCUAAUUUUCCAUGUUCACCAUUUCAGCAGAAUGACGUGCAUGUCCCUUGUAAUCUCAAGAAUCAACUGUCCGACGUAUGAAAACAAAUUCUUGCUGGCUUUCUUUUUUGUCAGGAGUAUGAAAAAAAUAAAUUCAUAUUUAUCCUGCGACAUAUUAUAAGAAUCAAUCGACUAUUCAUACUCAAUUUUUUAGGUCCAUCUACUGUUUCAUCUGCAAUUUCAAAGUCCUAAUUUAUUGGGAGGGUUACAGAAGUCGUUUUCAUCAAGGUCUUUCAUGCUGCUCUUGCCGACUGAGCAAUUCCAAUCUAGAUAUAUUUGGAUUGUGUACUUAAUGUCAUAAAAUUGCACGAUAUUACCAUUGUAAAAAUCCUACUUCUUUCAUUUUCUAAUAAAGAAUUGGGCAUGCAGGGUUACGGUAACGGAUAUAAUGACUGAUGAGAAGCCAUAAAUUUUGUUCCUUGCAAUAUUAUAGAAAGCACCAAAAGCAACGUCCAAGUUACAGAGUCGCAAAUAAAUUUAUUCAUUGCACUAUUUCCUCUACAACUGCAUCGAUAUGCUCCGAACGGUCUUUUCCGAGCACAUUUUCCCACCAAUACCUGAUCGUUGCUGAACUUAAUUGCUUUGAAGAAUGUAAAAGAUGCUUCUACACGUUCUGACAAUUUAAUGAUUUCUCGUCUCAUUGUCAUGAAAUCACAUUCACUGGAAUCGAACAAAUUGAGGAGGUGAUCAAGGAGGAGAGAAUCAUUAUAGAGCAGUUUAACGGUAGUCACGAGCAUCUUUUACAUUCUUCAAAUGCUAUUAAAUUCAGCGGCAACCAUAGAUUCUUUUUCAAAGCUACGGUAUAAUGUCACCAGUGCCAGUAUGAGAAAGCAGCGGAGAUAAUAAGUAGGCAAUUUCGGAGUUCAAACCCAUUUUCUGUGUAAACAUGAAGAGGAAGAGGGCAAGAACAUAUUCUAGUUACAUCCCACAAUUGCACAUAUCAAAUUCAAGAGUUAAUGUUAGAUUGUAGCAGUGAUGAAACUAGCUGAAGCAGAAACAAACACGAGGACAUUGCCUUGAAAAGAGUUUCCCAAGUAGAAGGUUAUUAGUCUGGCUGUUCAACUCUGCUAUUUUGAGCCAGAGAUAUGCAAUGAUAAGUGUAACAAAAUUUUUAGUAAAGUUUAAUCUUUUAAGAGUUUGUCUUUUCUGUUUAUUUUUCAUUUUAG